GGGUUGUGAGGUUAAGCGACUAAGCGUACACGGUGGAUGCCCUGGCAGUCAGAGGCGAUGAAGGACGUGCUAAUCUGCGAUAAGCGUCGGUAAGGUGAUAUGAACCGUUAUAACCGGCGAUUUCCGAAUGGGGAAACCCAGUGUGUUUCGACACACUAUCAUUAACUGAAUCCAUAGGUUAAUGAGGCGAACCGGGGGAACUGAAACAUCUAAGUACCCCGAGGAAAAGAAAUCAACCGAGAUUCCCCCAGUAGCGGCGAGCGAACGGGGAGCAGCCCAGAGCCUGAAUCAGUGUGUGUGUUAGUGGAAGCGUCUGGAAAGGCGCGCGAUACAGGGUGACAGCCCCGUACACAAAAAUGCACAUGCUGUGAGCUCGAUGAGUAGGGCGGGACACGUGGUAUCCUGUCUGAAUAUGGGGGGACCAUCCUCCAAGGCUAAAUACUCCUGACUGACCGAUAGUGAACCAGUACCGUGAGGGAAAGGCGAAAAGAACCCCGGCGAGGGGAGUGAAAAAGAACCUGAAACCGUGUACGUACAAGCAGUGGGAGCCUCUUUAUGGGGUGACUGCGUACCUUUUGUAUAAUGGGUCAGCGACUUAUAUUCUGUAGCAAGGUUAACCGAAUAGGGGAGCCGAAGGGAAACCGAGUCUUAACUGGGCGUUAAGUUGCAGGGUAUAGACCCGAAACCCGGUGAUCUAGCCAUGGGCAGGUUGAAGGUUGGGUAACACUAACUGGAGGACCGAACCGACUAAUGUUGAAAAAUUAGCGGAUGACUUGUGGCUGGGGGUGAAAGGCCAAUCAAACCGGGAGAUAGCUGGUUCUCCCCGAAAGCUAUUUAGGUAGCGCCUCGUGAAUUCAUCUCCGGGGGUAGAGCACUGUUUCGGCAAGGGGGUCAUCCCGACUUACCAACCCGAUGCAAACUGCGAAUACCGGAGAAUGUUAUCACGGGAGACACACGGCGGGUGCUAACGUCCGUCGUGAAGAGGGAAACAACCCAGACCGCCAGCUAAGGUCCCAAAGUCAUGGUUAAGUGGGAAACGAUGUGGGAAGGCCCAGACAGCCAGGAUGUUGGCUUAGAAGCAGCCAUCAUUUAAAGAAAGCGUAAUAGCUCACUGGUCGAGUCGGCCUGCGCGGAAGAUGUAACGGGGCUAAACCAUGCACCGAAGCUGCGGCAGCGACGCUUAUGCGUUGUUGGGUAGGGGAGCGUUCUGUAAGCCUGCGAAGGUGGCCUGUGAGGGUUGCUGGAGGUAUCAGAAGUGCGAAUGCUGACAUAAGUAACGAUAAAGCGGGUGAAAAGCCCGCUCGCCGGAAGACCAAGGGUUCCUGUCCAACGUUAAUCGGGGCAGGGUGAGUCGACCCCUAAGGCGAGGCCGAAAGGCGUAGUCGAUGGGAAACAGGUUAAUAUUCCUGUACUUGGUGUUACUGCGAAGGGGGGACGGAGAAGGCUAUGUUGGCCGGGCGACGGUUGUCCCGGUUUAAGCGUGUAGGCUGGUUUUCCAGGCAAAUCCGGAAAAUCAAGGCUGAGGCGUGAUGACGAGGCACUACGGUGCUGAAGCAACAAAUGCCCUGCUUCCAGGAAAAGCCUCUAAGCAUCAGGUAACAUCAAAUCGUACCCCAAACCGACACAGGUGGUCAGGUAGAGAAUACCAAGGCGCUUGAGAGAACUCGGGUGAAGGAACUAGGCAAAAUGGUGCCGUAACUUCGGGAGAAGGCACGCUGAUAUGUAGGUGAAGCGACUUGCUCGUGGAGCUGAAAUCAGUCGAAGAUACCAGCUGGCUGCAACUGUUUAUUAAAAACACAGCACUGUGCAAACACGAAAGUGGACGUAUACGGUGUGACGCCUGCCCGGUGCCGGAAGGUUAAUUGAUGGGGUUAGCGCAAGCGAAGCUCUUGAUCGAAGCCCCGGUAAACGGCGGCCGUAACUAUAACGGUCCUAAGGUAGCGAAAUUCCUUGUCGGGUAAGUUCCGACCUGCACGAAUGGCGUAAUGAUGGCCAGGCUGUCUCCACCCGAGACUCAGUGAAAUUGAACUCGCUGUGAAGAUGCAGUGUACCCGCGGCAAGACGGAAAGACCCCGUGAACCUUUACUAUAGCUUGACACUGAACAUUGAGCCUUGAUGUGUAGGAUAGGUGGGAGGCUUUGAAGUGUGGACGCCAGUCUGCAUGGAGCCGACCUUGAAAUACCACCCUUUAAUGUUUGAUGUUCUAACGUUGGCCCCUGAUCGGGGUUGCGGACAGUGUCUGGUGGGUAGUUUGACUGGGGCGGUCUCCUCCUAAAGAGUAACGGAGGAGCACGAAGGUUGGCUAAUCCUGGUCGGACAUCAGGAGGUUAGUGCAAUGGCAUAAGCCAGCUUGACUGCGAGCGUGACGGCGCGAGCAGGUGCGAAAGCAGGUCAUAGUGAUCCGGUGGUUCUGAAUGGAAGGGCCAUCGCUCAACGGAUAAAAGGUACUCCGGGGAUAACAGGCUGAUACCGCCCAAGAGUUCAUAUCGACGGCGGUGUUUGGCACCUCGAUGUCGGCUCAUCACAUCCUGGGGCUGAAGUAGGUCCCAAGGGUAUGGCUGUUCGCCAUUUAAAGUGGUACGCGAGCUGGGUUUAGAACGUCGUGAGACAGUUCGGUCCCUAUCUGCCGUGGGCGCUGGAGAACUGAGGGGGGCUGCUCCUAGUACGAGAGGACCGGAGUGGACGCAUCACUGGUGUUCGGGUUGUCAUGCCAAUGGCACUGCCCGGUAGCUAAAUGCGGAAGAGAUAAGUGCUGAAAGCAUCUAAGCACGAAACUUGCCCCGAGAUGAGUUCUCCCUGACUCCCUGAGAGUCCUGAAGGAACGUUGAAGACGACGACGUUGAUAGGCCGGGUGUGUAAGCGCAGCGAUGCGUUGAGCUAACCGGUACUAAUGAACCGUGAGGCUUAACCUUACAAC
rnacentral:rRNA from 1 species